rnacentral:rRNA from 1 species
CCUACGGGAGGCAGCAGUGGGGGAUAUUGCACAAUGGGGGAAACCCUGAUGCAGCGACGCCGCGUGUGGGAAGACGGUCCUCUGGAUUGUAAACCACUGUCGCCAGGGACGAAGAUGAUGGUACCUGGGGAGGAAGCUCCGGCUAACUACGUGACAGCAGCCGCGGUAAGACGUGGGGAGCAAGCGUUGUCCGGAAUUACUGGGUGUAAAGGGAGCGUAGGCGGGAUGGCAAGUUGGGUGUUAAAUCUACCGGCUCAACUGGUAGUCGCAGUCAACACCGCUAUUCUUGAGUGAAGUAGAGGCAGGCGGAAUUCGUGGUGUAGCGGUGAAAUGCGUAGAUAUUAGGAAGAACACCGGUGGCGAAGGCAGCCUGCUGGGCUUUUACUGACGCUGAGGCUCGAAAGUGUGGGGAGCGAACAGGAUUAGAUACCCGAGUAGUC